rnacentral:rRNA from 1 species
UCCGUAGGUGAACCUGCGGAAGGAUCAUUACCAGUUGUUGACCCGACGAUAGUCGAGGGAAGACGAGCGCGAGCUCAGGCUCGUGCUGGAGUGUCUUACUCCGCGAGGAGUUAGGGUGCUCUCUGCAGCGCAGAACUAGUGGUGGAGUCUUCUCGUUAAGACCCGCGCGACUAGUAGGGUAGGGGAGAAGCACUGUUUCUCCGCUAUCGUAACCUAACCAAAGUUACACGAAAGUUUCGAAAAACUCAACCACUGAACCACUGUUAGCGGCGGAUCACUUGGCUGACGGGUCGAUGAAGAACGUAGCAAACUACGUUAAUCAGUGUAAACUGCACAAUAGCAGAACACUUGAACUUCGAACGCACAUUGCGGCUAAAGGGUAACUCCUCUAGCCUUAUCUGCGUGAGGGCUGUAUAGCGAUACUAAACUCAUGUGUUUAGGGAGUGAUCACUUUCGGGUGAGACUCCGCAAAGAGAACCUCGCUAGUGGUCUCUGACUGCUGGACGGUCUCAGGGGCAGGGGCAAGGACCCGGCGGGGGGUUAGGCGGAGGUGGUAAACUCACUCAACAGGCCUCACGGUCAGGGGUAAGGAUCACCCGGGCUGAACUUAA